AGUGAACGCUGGCGGUAGGCCUAACACAUGCAAGUCGAACGGCAGCACAGUAAGAGCUUGCUCUUACGGGUGGCGAGUGGCGGACGGGUGAGGAAUACAUCGGAAUCUACUUUUUCGUGGGGGAUAACGUAGGGAAACUUACGCUAAUACCGCAUCCGACCUACGGGUGGAAGCAGGGGAUCUUCGGACCUUGCGCGAUUGAAUUAGCCGAUGUCGGAUUAGCUAGUUGGCGGGGUAAAGGCCCACCAAGGCGACGAUCCGUAGCUGGUCUGAGAGGAGGAUCAGCCACACUGGAACUGAGACACGGUCCAGACUCCUACGGGAGGCAGCAGUGGGGAAUAUUGGACAAUGGGCGCAAGCCUGAUCCAGCCAUACCGCGUGGGUGAAGAAGGCGUUCGGGUUGUAAAGCCCUUUUGUUGGGAAAGAAAAGCAGCAGGUUAAUACCCCGCUGUUCUGACGGUACCCAAAGAAUAAGCACCGGCUAACUUCGUG
rnacentral:rRNA from 1 species